CUGUCAAAGAAAAGAAAAAACUGUCAAACCCCAACUAUAUGAUCCUAGAUGAUCUAAAUCAUCAAGAUAUUGAUAUAAUGCCUUUGGAACAUGGUAGCGUACAGUUGAAAAAAAAAAUAGUUAUAAAAAAAUAAAGAACCUAAUACUUAGUAAAGUCCACUACAUCCUGCAAUCUAGACUUUCUAAUAAGAGACAUCAAUUUAUUUUUAAUUAAAUCCCUAGUAGUCUUUUUAUGGUUACCAUC
rnacentral:lncRNA from 1 species